AUUGAACGCUGGCGGCAUGCCUAACACAUGCAAGUCGAACGGGGCAGCAAUGCCUAGUGGCGGACGGGUGAGGAAUACGUAGGAAUCUGCCCUUAAGUGGGGGAUAACCAGGGGAAACCCUGACUAAUACCGCAUGAUCUCUUCGGAGCAAAGAGGGGGACCGCAAGGCCUCUCGCUUCUGGAUGAGCCCACGUCUGAUUAGCUAGUUGGUAGGGUAAAGGCCUACCAAGGCGACGAUCAGUAACUGGUCUGAGAGGAUGAUCAGUCACACCGGAACGGAGACACGGUCCGGACUCCUACGGGAGGCAGCAGUGGGGAAUAUUGGACAAUGGGCGCAAGCCUGAUCCAGCAAUGCCGCGUGUGUGAAGAAGGCCUUCGGGUUGUAAAGCACUUUAGCCUGGAAAGAAAAAACUUUGGUUAACACCCAAAGUCUUGACGGUACCAGGAGAAUAAGCACCGGCUAACUCUGUGCCAGCCGCCGCGGUAAUAC
rnacentral:rRNA from 1 species